UUACGGGAGGCAGCAGUAGGGAAUCUUGCGCAAUGGGCGAAAGCCUGACGCAGCGACACCGCGUGGGGGAUGAAGGCCUUCGGGUUGUAAACCCCUUUCAUGAGGGAUGAACACUGACAUUACCUCAGGAAGAAGCACCGGCUAACUCCGUGCCAGCAGCUGCGGUAAUACGGAGAGUGCGAACGUUGUUCGGAUUCACUGGGCGUAAAGGGCACGUAGGCGGCUCGGCAAAUCGGUCGUGGAAUCCCGGCGCUUACCGUCGGAACGGCGGCCGAAAAUACCGAGCUCGAGGGCGUGAGGGGUCACUGGAACUCCUGGUGAAGCGGUGAAAUGCGUAGAUAUCAGGAGGAACGCCGGAGGCGAAAGCGAGUGACUGGCGCGUUCCUGACGCUGAGGUGCGAAAGCUAGGGGAGCAAACAGGAUUAGAUACCCCGGUAGUCC
rnacentral:rRNA from 1 species